GCUUACGGCCAUACCACCCUGAGAACGGCCGAUCUCGUCCGAUCUCGGAAGCUAAGCAGGGUCGGGCCUGGUUAGUACUUGGAUGGGAGACCGCCUGGGAAUACCAGGUGCUGUAAGCU
rnacentral:rRNA from 1 species